GAGCACUACAUCCCCCGGGCCGUGCUGCUGGACUUGGAACCCCGGGUGAUCCACUCCAUCCUCAACUCCCCCUAUGCCAAGCUCUACAACCCAGAGAACAUCUACCUGUCGGAACAUGGAGGAGGAGCUGGCAACAACUGGGCCAGCGGAUUCUCCCAGGGUGAGAAAAUUCAUGAAGACAUCUUUGACAUCAUAGACCGAGAAGCAGAUGGAAGUGACAGUUUGGAGCUCCAGAACAGCUCCAGAGUGAUAAAGGACUGAGUUUGGGGGCUUCCAGGAAGGUGAACAAGAACACAUCCACAGGCCAGGAGGGUGCAAACCCAACGCCACAGGGCAGCAACUCCUAUGCGCCGGACCCUUCUAGAGCUUCCCCUCGGUAUCUCUUCAUCUGGCUGUUUAUUUGUAUCCUUUAAAAUAUCCUUUAUAACAAAUGGAUGAACGUAAGUAAGUGUCUCCUUGAGUUCUGUGAGCUACUCUAACAAAUUAAUUGAACCCAAGGAGCAGUCCUGAGAACCUCGAUUUAUAGCUGGUUGGUCAGAGGCACAGAUAAAACAACCUGAAGCUUGUGUUGGCAUUGGAAGUGGGAGAGUCUUGUGGGACUGAGCCUUCACUCUGUGGGAUCUGAUGCUAUCUUCAGGUACAGAUACUCCUCAACUUACAAUGGGUUUAUCAGGAUGUAAACACAUCACAAAUUGAAAAUAUUGACUAGGCACAGUGGCUCAUGCCUGUAAUCCCAGCACUUUGGGAGGCCGAAGCAGGUGGAUCAUCCGAGCCCAGGAGUUCAAAACCAGCCUGGGCAACAUGGUGAAACCCCAUCUCUGCAAAAUAUACAAACAUUAUCCAGGCAUGGUGGUACAUGCCUAUAGUCCAAGCUACUUGGAGGCUGAGAUAGGAAGAUGCCUUGAGCCCAGGAAUUCAAGGCUGCAGUGAGCUAUGAUCACACCACUGCACUGCAGUCUGGGGGACUGAGUGAGAUCCUGUCUCUAAAACCAAAACAAAUUUGAGGACAGGUGCGGUAGCUCAUGCUUGUAAUCCCAACACUUUGGCAGGCCGAGGCGGGCAGAUCACUUGAGGUCAGGAGUUCAAGACCAGCCUGGCCAACAUGGUGAAACCCCGUAUCUACGAAAAAUAAAAAAAUUAGCCAGGCGUGGUGGUACAUGCCCGUAGUCCCAGCUACUUGAGAGGCUGAGGCAGGAGAAUGGCUCGAACCUAGGAGGUAGAGGUUGCAGUGAGCCAAGAUCGG
rnacentral:lncRNA from 10 species